UUACAGAAAUAUCUUUGACAAAUUGGUGCUUCCAACUAACAAGCAACCAUCCUGGGGAGUUGAGAGGGUCCGUCAGGGGUCUUCACCUCCACUGAAGACAGCAGCUAACCAUCAUGGACCACACAAUGACACACAAAGAGACGUGAAAAAGUGAAUCCAGCAUGUGCAGAGCCUGGACUGAGGAGGUCCUGGAAGCUGCUGUGAGAUCACGACCUUCAUGUAGAAACGCCACUGCAGCUGCUGGAGGCGAAUCGAUCAGAUGUUUCAGUGAAUGUUUAAGGAAUCGAUCCACAGACGUUUGGAUCUUUCAGGUAAAAGAAUGAGAAGCUCAGCACAUUAAAAGCUUCAUCAGUGUCUGAAUAACUGAUCAAAUCCAGGAAUGUGAGCGCCACGCCACAGCCAACGCCCCCCCACAUCAGUCCAGGUGAGUUUGGAUGAGUUUGCACGGCUUGA